UACGUAGGGGGCAAGCGUUGUCCGGAUUUAUUGGGCGUAAAGAGCGUGUAGGCGCCAGGUAGGUCCGUUGUGAAAACUCGAGGCUCAACCUCGAGACGUCGGCGGAAACCCUCUGGCUAGAGUCCGGAAGAGGAGAGUGGAAUUCCUGGUGUAGCGGUGAAAUGCGCAGAUAUCAGGAAGAACACCCGUGGCGAAGGCGGCUCUCUGGGACGGUACUGACGCUGAGACGCGAAAGCGUGGGGAGCAAAGCAGG
rnacentral:rRNA from 1 species